GGUCCCAUAGCUCAGUUGGUUAGAGCGUCGUACUAAUAAUCCCUCAGCAAUGAGAUCAUCAAGUAAAUGCGAAGGCCGAGAGUUCAAGCCUCUCUGGGACCA
rnacentral:tRNA from 1 species